CAACAACAAACCAGAAUUAGCUGCAGCUGGUCAUCAAGGAUCCCAACAUGAACAGACGACUACAAUCAGUCACUUCCACAGUAUUGGAUCCAUUCACUGUCACUCAACCCCUCAGCCAAUCACCGGCAGUCUCUCUCCCACCUGGAAUCCACCCCUGUUCCUUUGUUUGAAGUACAUCCAGAUUCAGUCAUUCACACACAGCGACUUGAACAGCAGGAUCAGCUCACACCAUUCAUCACUGGAAACCCGUUCACUUUUCACAAUCCUGGAAACCUGGAAACCACAGCAUCAAAGAAAACCUUCAACUCCACAACCAUCCUCUUGGACUUCUGGAUUCCACCAACAGAAACCAAACAUUUUGCUGAACAUUGGUUAGGCUUCAAUGGAUGAUUUGAAUUGAUGGCGAGCUACCCUCCAAAGAACUGGAACAGUAUGAAAAGAUUCAGCCCUUCACCCACCCCACUCAUUGGCAGGCCUCAAGCCUUACAGCUUCAUCCCUUCCCCAAUGCUGUGGUAGGACUUGUUUAGAUUCAUUUCACCUUGUUUGGACUUGUUCAACUUGUUUUAUGGAUUAAUUACUUUGAUUAACACCCCAUUGGCAACAGUGGAACCACAUUCACCUG
ensembl:lncRNA